CCCCCCUCACCCCCAUAUACAGAAAUAGAGCAUUUAUUCCAGGCAUGAGACCCAGAGAUUUCAAAGGCCUGGAAAAUGCAGACCUACAAAGAAUUCAUCAACUCUACACAGGUCACGACAUAAUCACCUUCGCUGAAUUACAAACCAGAACAACCCUAACCCCCGCAGAUUUCUUUAGGUACCUCCAGCUAAGACACUAUGCUACCC